UGCGCAGAGUCCAUCAGUGACUGGACAUCUAGAGACUGUCCACUUCCUGCUCAUGUCACAGGAUCAUCUCCAAAUCAUCUCGUUAACACGCUGUUUUCGUGGAUGGAGCUGGAGCUGUCAGACCAGUCCGACCACAGCACUCAUCAGCUGCAUCUGGAGGGAUUUCAGGCUUUCGCCGCCUCAUCCUGGAUCUGUGAAGAAACAUUAGGAAGAAUAAGUGCAAAUCCCACUCAUAAAGCCCCAUAAUAACUCCACUUUUGGCUGCGUCUACACGGCUUUUAUGUAUCGUUUUAAAGAGGGGCUAAGCUGCUGUUGACAGACACCUGCUCGGAGGUGAGACUAAUGUUAACAGCCGUGACAACUUUGAACUUUGACCUCAAGUGGUGGAAGGAAUCACCCACCACUUAUUCCACACAUGACAAAACUUUCAUCAGAGAAAUUGUAAAUGUGUAACUACAUUGUUGUUCAUUAUAAGACAUUCUAUGAUGCUGGUAUGGUAGGAUAUAUUUUUCCAACAACAACAGACAACAUCACUGAGGGGAACUAUCUUGGGCAAGGGUCAACAGGAGAGCCAAUUCAGAUAGUCAGAAAAAACAAACAAACAACAAUAACUGUGGAUUAAUCUAAUGUUAGGUUUAUGGAGAUGCUGCCCAACCAUACACAGGUAGAAUAUGCAAACUCCAAACAAUAGGGCCAUAUAUGAUUCAGGAUUUGAACCUGAUCUCUUGCUUCUAUACGGUGCUAACUCUAUCAUUGCAUUACCAGUAUACAAUUAGACUGGGGAAAAAAGAAAACAAGGUGAAUGUAACAAAUAUGGCCAUAAUGUGACACAUUUAAGUUGUCAUAGCAAGACAUGAUUAAUAAUAAUGAAAAAAAGACCUUUUGUUUUUGUUCUUCACAACAAGGGAGAUUUGACGAAGUGUAGUUGACAUUAACCCAUGGAAAAAUAUGUCUUGCAGCCAAGUAGAAAUUUUCCAUUGGCCUGACUCACUCUUUGCAUCUACUUUGCAUAGCUUUUGCAUUUGGCUGCGUUUGCCUGCCAACUCGCCCAUUCAGCGGGAUACAUCUUUAUUACAAGUAUACACCCCAAAGGAUUAGCACAAAGUAAAUUCCAACUUGAGGUUUGGAUCUGUAUUUUGGUGGGUGGGACUAUAGAGGUGAUUGACAGCUGCACAUGUGCCUGGACCAGGGGCUUGUACCGAGAGGCCUGUGCUUCAGCUCCAGAACAAACACAAACUAAAGAAGCAGUGAGGCGUUUGCACAGUGACAUCCUGUUCACAGAGCCCCCUCCACAAACAAAGCACACUGCAGUAAUAAACGUAAUUAUAAAGCUAAUAUUUACUACAGUAUUAAUGACUGCCAUGGAGGUGGAAAAGAACCAACAUACAAAGCACUUUCUUACGUAAAAUAAAUUGUCUUUCAUGCUUCAGUUGCAAAAUUGUAAUCUAAUAGUAGCAACGAUUCUUGAAUCUGGUAAACAUUAUUAGCCGUAGUCAAAAUAGCUGUAAAACAGGUUAGUAGUAACACUGGCAGAAAUAGCUGCUGCACUUGAUUUUUUGUGUACCAUUAAUAAAAUAAAUUUUAUGUAAAGAUGCUCUAUGUAACAUUUUGGCAGAGGUUUGGCCACCUGCUUGUCUCCAUGGCGAUGACAUUGCUUAGCCUAUAAUCUUUUUGGUUUGGUAUUGAAGUUAUUUGUCCCAUGGUGAAAAUCAGGUGGUGCCACCAGGCCAAGUAACAGGUCAGAUCUGUGAGGAAGUGACUCCACUCACUCUAUGAAUGCAUGUUUACAGUUAUUUUUGACCAAUAAAAACAUGUGUAAUUAAAAAUAUUUAAUGCCAUACUGUGGAAUAUUCCAGGCAAAGCAAUAUUUCCCUGGAGAAAUUUUGCAGACCACAAAACCACAAAAGUUACAAGGUGUACCAUUAAAGUCAAACAUGUAUUGGUUUUAAAUCCUACUCUAAAUCAAUGUGCAUUUGUCAUAGUUUUGUUGCAUCACGAAACUCAGAUGAAACUUGGAGGCAGGAGGGGCAAAGGGAGAGCCGGCUUCACGUUGGCGGGUUUCCAAAGUGAAGAGAAAAGAACGGGAAAACCUGGAUAUGUGUGGCACUCGUAAAAGGCUUUUUGACUGCAGGGCUUUGGAGUGGGGCCAGCUCCUGAGGCCUCCAGAACGUACUGCUAUUGUUUAUGCCCUCUAUGUUAAAGGACCUCAAAGCAAAUGUAAUUACAGCCAUCUAAGAGAGAUUCAAAAGUUAUUCGUCUUUUGUCUACUUUAUAUUAUGUAGUGUUCUAUUUGGAAAGUGAUCAAACAAAAUUUGUACUUGUUUUAAACACUAUAAUAUUUACACAGUUUUAUAUGUCACUCAAAUAAUUAAAAACAUAUUUAUUAAAUGAAAUGUUUUGUUGAUGUGAAUUCAUCCAUAACAUCUGAUAACAAAUUACUUACCCAUAGAAGAUAUAAAGUAGCUAAAUCUGGUAGAAAUCCUCUUUUCUUUUUUGUAAGACUGAUUGAAUUGUGCAUGGUGCCUGAAAAAGGAAUAAACUAUGAAUUAAUUAUAUAGUA